ACCCAACUAGACCUUCUCUUGUCUGAGGAGCGUCUGAGUAUGGUCGUGCAAGAUUGACUCCAGUCGAUCGUGCUCGACUCAAGUUAGCGGUCACUUUCUGAAGUGACACUUUUGCGUCUGGAUGGCAAACGUGUCUUGUGCUUUAGGAGGCCAAAAUAUCUGGUAGAUGCACCGCUUGUGUGUAUUCCAUCGGUAUGGAAGCUUCUGAGCAGGGUCGUGAAGCAAUUCUGGCGUGAAGGGCGGUGCGGAANCGCUGCGCUUUGUGUUCUACAAUCGAAUCUCAGCUUGGUAAGAUUACCCGCUGAAUUUAAGCAUAUAAUUAAGCGGAGGAAAAGAAAAUAACUAUGAUUCCCU
rnacentral:rRNA from 1 species